AUGCUCUGCGACGCAGCUGGUUCGCCCGACCGAAGUUUCCGGGAAGGCGAGGCAAGAGGGAAUCCGGUGCGAGGCCGGAACUGCCCCCGCAGCGGUGAGCGGGAACAAAAGUCGUCAUAGAGCGCCGGACGCCGAAGGGCGUACGGGAAGCGACGGCCACUAGGCACUUCGCGGACCACCGAGCACACGCCGUGCCCGGCGGUGCCCCGGCAUGCCCGCGAGUCCGAAUACCUGCCGGCUGCCCACGCCUUCG
rnacentral:ncRNA from 2 species